GGGAGACCCUGUUCAAAUCCUUUCAUCAGGCAGCUGGAGGAAUUGAACCUGGAUGAGUGCCUUAACCAGGAAAAUGAAAUUUAUAAGGGAGAAAAUAUAUUUUCCAGUGUUUCUUACAAAAAUAACUUAGUUGCCUGACUCCAGAAGCAGGAUUCUCAGCUGUGGGUUAUGUACUUGCAACCUGGAGCUUAACUCAGUGGGAGGGAUGGGGGCUAGGACAUACCUCUCUUGUCAGUAUCUCCCAUUAGCUACUUUGGUGGCUCUACAUCUAGUAUGUUGGCUUUUGUGGAUCUCAUUCUUAAGUGCCAAUCUCUCUCAUUGCAUAGGGAGCUUAAGCACCUAAUUCAGGAUUUGUGGAUUCUAGUAAUUUUCUAGGCACCUUAGUCCCUUUGUGGAUCUAAUCCCACUAAAUCAUCUAGUCUGACAACUUAUAUAACACCAGCCAUAUAAUUUAAUCUAUUUACUCCUGUCUAGAGUAUAAUAGCCUGUGUUUAAUUACAGAAUAUCUUACAGAAAGGCAUCGAGAUGGAAGCAUUUCAAGGAAUGGAGACGCCACUAUUUCUUGUGGAGUGUUGUCUUGUCUGUUUCACCAAGGAGAAAGACACACACGUGGAUGAAAUCCUGGGUCCCCGGAAUUUAACUGCAAAACUCCCACUGAAUUCCACAGAUCCAGAAUUUCACCAUAGUUCACACCACAAAAGGCUUAAAAUAAGGCAAUAGAGAUGGUGUUCCCCCACGUCAAGGUGGAGGUCAUUCGAAGGACAACAUUGAAGAGCUUGUGUACCAGGGAUAAAAUGGAUAUAAUUCAUUUUACAGGCUAUUUUCUGCUUGUACUCUCUAUGCCAUGUUUGUGA